rnacentral:snRNA from 1 species
GGUUGGAAGGGACCUCAGGGAUCAUCUAGACCAACCUUUGGUCGAAGAGGAUGACCUUCCCCGAUAGAGGCGUACUGUUCAUCGGUCCAAGGGUAUAUGGUAGCUGCGCUACCCUGCUAGAACCUCCAAACAAGCUCAAGAGAAAGGUAGUUGCUUAUAGUGUGUUGUUGCUAGGACAUUGUAACCCUUCCU